UCAAACUGGAGAUGGCGACCGGCGCACGGGUGAGUAACACGUAUCCAACCUGCCGAUAACUCGGGGAUAGCCUUUCGAAAGAAAGAUUAAUACCCGAUGGCAUAAUAGAACCGCAUGGUUUGAUUAUUAAAGAAUUUCGGUUAUCGAUGGGGAUGCGUUCCAUUAGUUUGUUGGCGGGGUAACGGCCCACCAAGACUACGAUGGAUAGGGGUUCUGAGAGGAAGGUCCCCCACAUUGGAACUGAGACACGGUCCAAACUCCUACGGGAGGCAGCAUG
rnacentral:rRNA from 1 species